rnacentral:rRNA from 1 species
GCCGCGACCCGUUGCUGGGGACGUCGAAGGCCCGGGUGGACUGGUACCCCGACGCCGUGCUGCUUUAGUAGCAUGACGAAGGGGGAAACCUCCGGUGUCCUGGCUGCCCUGCGACGGUCGUGCAGAUGAGGGGCGAAUAAACGUCACUCUCGCGGCGUGCAAAAGGUCGGUGACCCACCCGACCCGUCUUGAAACACGGACCAAGGAGUCUAACAUGUGUGCGAGUCAUUGGGUGCACUAAACCCAGAGGCGUAAUGAAAGUGAAAGGUGGGCGUCCCGGGGUUCCCUCACUGAGGGGGUUCCGGUCGGCGCCUACCGGGGCCGAUCCUCGACAUGCCGUCGCUUCGCCGGUGUUUCUUCCCACACCAAAGCGGGGCCGCCAAGACGGGGCUGCUGGCGCGGGGUGAGAACCUUUCCCUCGUGGCCUAGCCUCCGGUCCCGUGGGUACCCGGCGAGCGCGACAGUCCGGCUGCUGCUGUUGUCGGACCUGUUGAAGGCCAUAGCAAUAGUAGAAGCCGCCUGUACGCAGGGGGGCGCAGGCCCGGGACUUGCCAUUUGACGCCGUCGCGUAAAUCUGUUGUUGGCCUCGCCGGCUCUGCUUGGGCUCUCGGUUGGCGGGCCGCGCGCCAGGCGGCGGGCUUUAGGAGGAGGGCAUACACUGUCCAAGUCCGGGUCCGUCCGUCACGCGCGGUUUUUGCCUUCCG